rnacentral:rRNA from 1 species
UUGUGCUUGCUUGUCUUGCGCUCUCACUGCUCUGACGGAUGCUUUUAUUAGACCAAACCGCUGAGGACUUGAGGGUUCGCUCUCUAGUUCGACUCGUGCGAUGGUGACUCUGGAUAACCUUGACGAGCGCACGUACUCCUCUUCUGAGCGAGACGGCGCUGCCACUUUCGAGUGUCUGCCUUAUCAGCUAUCAACCGUUCGUUAUGCGCGACCGAUGGCUUUGACGGGUAACGGGGAAUCAGGGUUCGAUUCCGGAGAGGCAGCCUGAGAGACGGCUACCACGUCCAAGGACGGCAGCAGGCACGCAAAUUACCCAAUCCCAGCAAAUGGGGGAGGUAGUGACGAAAUCUAACGAUGCGGGCGCCCUUUCUGGGGCCCCGCAAUCGGAAUGGGCACUUUCUAAACAACCUGUUGAGAACCUACUGAAGGGCAAGUCUGGUGCCAGCAGCCGCGGUAAUUCCAGCUUCAGCAGCAUCUAUUAAAGUUGCUGCGGUUAAAAGGCUCGCAGUUGAAUGUCUGUAUCGAGCGCAGGUCAGGUGGACGUUGGGGCGUGGAAGUACGGGCAGUUGGACGUUCGGAGGGCAUUCGUGCUCGAUGGCUCCUUCGGCUUUUCCACACACCCCCGUCCGUGACAAGCCUCCUCGCUCGGGUACAUAACGGGAAUCGGUCAAACGGAGUGUGGUCGGGGAUUGAGGUGCGUGGUUUCGGCUGCGUGCUCCUUCUUUCGGCUGCGUUAAGCUCCAUCGGUUUCACGGUCACCUUGAGUAAAUCA